UUUUUUCUUUGUUUUUUGGCUCUCUCAA
rnacentral:piRNA from 1 species